ensembl:snoRNA small Cajal body-specific RNA 24
UGAACUAUUUAUUAUCUUGUAUUCUGCAACUUAAAAAAAAUUCAUAUAUUGUAAAUGUCCUAGAGAAAUAUAGUAGCUUUCUGUUCACCCUUUGCUAGUGGAAAGGGUGGAUCGUUCCUCUACUGACAUAU